UACAGAGGGUGCGAGCGUUAAUCGGAAUUACUGGGCGUAAAGCGUGCGUAGACGGUCAAGUAAGUCGGGUGUGAAAGCCCCGGGCUCAACCUGGGAAUUGCAUUCGAGACUGCGUGGCUAGGGUGCGGAAGAGGGAAGCGGAAUUUCCGGUGUAGCGGUGAAAUGCGUAGAUAUCGGAAGGAACAUCAGUGGCGAAAGCGACUUCCUGGACCAGUACCGACGUUCAGGCACGAAAGCGUGGGGAGCAAACA
rnacentral:rRNA from 1 species